rnacentral:rRNA from 1 species
CGGGGUGAGUAAUGUCUGGGAAACUGCCUGAUGGAGGGGGAUAACUACUGGAAACGGUAGCUAAUACCGCAUAACGUCGCAAGACCAAAGAGGGGGACCUUCGGGCCUCUUGCCAUCGGAUGUGCCCAGAUGGGAUUAGCUAGUAGGUGGGGUAGUGGCUCACCUAGGCGACGAUCCCUAGCUGGUCUGAGAGGAUGACCAGCCACACUGGAACUGAGACACGGUCCAG